rnacentral:lncRNA from 1 species
UAUAUAGAGAGAGAGAGAGAGAGAGAGAGAGAGAGAGAGAGAGAACUAGGCUAAUAUACUAUUAUUAGCACGAAGUCAUUGGUGCUACCAAGUUUUUGGCCAUUGGAUUAAGAGAUGUGCGGUUAGGAUGAUGUGGGCCCCCUAUGGUUGAGUGGGUGGUUGGUUGAAUAGUAGAUCUAACGGAUGAAAAUGAUUAAAAGGAUAGAUCUAACGGCGGAAAACUUGGUAGCACCAAGUGUUUCGUGCUAUUA